CGGAGGCAGCAGUGGGGAAUUUUGCACAAUGGGGGAAACCCUGAUGCAGCAACGCCGCGUGGAGGAUGAAGCCCUUUGGGGCGUAAACUCCUUUCGAUCGGGACGAUUAUGACGGUACCGGAUGAAGAAGCACCGGCUAACUCUGUGCCAGCAGCCGCGGUAAUACAGAGGGUGCAAGCGUUGUUCGGAAUUAUUGGGCGUAAAGGGUGCGUAGGCGGUGCGGUAAGUCUUUUGUGAAAUCUCCGGGCUCAACUCGGAGUCUGCAGGAGAAACUGCCGUGCUUGAGUAUGGGAGAGGUGAGUGGAAUUCCUGGUGUAGCGGUGAAAUGCGUAGAUAUCAGGAGGAACACCUGUGGCGAAAGCGGCUCACUGGACCAUAACUGACGCUGAUGCACGAAAGCUAGGGGAGCAAACAGGAUUAGAUACCCCGGU
rnacentral:rRNA from 1 species